rnacentral:misc_RNA from 1 species
CCUGGUGGAUGUGCACUUUUGCCAUUAGAUUUCCUUCAAAGGUUACCCAAUAUAGAGAUGCUUAUUCUGAGUGAUUCCUCAACCGAAGAAAUAUUCCUAGAUGAACUGAACAUGCACGAUGAAGAAAAUACAGGGUCACUUGCACAAUUGAAAGUACUCAAGUUGUCUAAUUUGACAAAGCUUAAGCGUACGGUGGAGGAAAACUCCCAACCGGUCCAAGUUUUUGAACAUCUGGCAACCUUAGAGGUAUCCGAAUGUUACACAUUGAAAAUUUUAGUGCCAUCCUCCGUUUCAUUCCAAAAUCUGACAAAUUUGGAAGUAUCAAAAUGUCAUGGAAUGAUUAAUCUGAUAACUUCCUCAGUGGGCAGAGGUAUGAUGCAACUCAAUAGACUGAUCGUAAAAGACUGUGAAAUUAUCCAAGAAAUAGUGGCAAGUGGAGGAGAUGGAGUAGUAGAUGAGAUAUGUUUCAGCCAACUAAAAUAUUUGGAUCUUCGGUGUUUACCAUGCCUUACAAGCUUCUGCUUUGGUUAUUAUACCUUCAAUUUCCCAUCUUUAGAAA